GAUUUCAAUGAGAAAUGCAGAAAAUUUAUAGGGAACUGUAAAAUGGGGACAGAUUUUUAGUUUUCUAAAUUGAGGUUUAACUGGCAAACUUGUAAAGGUUGAAGAAACCACAGAGCCAAGCUAUGGGGAAGCUGGUUUCUUUUCUGGUCAGGACGAAUAAACAUACAAACACAUAUCUAACUCACAAAGUAUUGAAAGAGAGAAAGCAAUGCUCUUUCCAGAGGAGGAACACGGAAAAAUCAGCCUUGUGGGUGAACAGGAGGAGAGUCACAUUCGCCAGCAGGCAGCACCCUGUGCAGGCAGCGGGAGAAAUCCGAGCUUCAGCAGCGUCCAGAGCAGGAUUUGCACAAAGUCUCCCGUUUCAAGUUUUAUGUCUCCUAGAGUCCUGGGGAAGGCACCCAGCCCACCCACAGCUCCCUUCUCAGAGCCCUAAGAAUUGAUGAGAAAGCCCCUCACUACCACACGCAGGACACGCAGAAACUUCAGAUGAGUGGACUGGUCACGUGAUACAGCAAUGACAAAAACUUCAGUAUUGGCAUUCAUUCCAGCUGAUGGCAUUCCAGGAGCUUUUAAUGAAUUAAAGCCACAUUUGCCUGAAGAAGCCAGAGAAGUUACUAACUGGUUCAAAAACGAUUACAUGCAUGAUGGGCAGUAUUGUUGCAGUUCAAUCACCAGUAUUGCUUCCACCAGAUUUGUGGUCUAUAUAUGUGUGCAUAUGGAAUAGAUUUCCACAGACCCACAACACGGAAACAUGGCACAGAAGAUGGGAAAACUUAAUGGGGAAUACUCAUGUAGAUGUGUACUAAACCAUAGAAGAAUUUUGAAAAGAGAAGUGUCACAUAGAAAAUAAAUGUGAACAUAUUCUCCAAGGACAGCCAUGUCCUAAAAGAAAAAAAGCAGCCUUUUUUUUGUGAUGUGAGAUUUCAAAAUAUAGUUAAUGACUGUGAAAGUUGGCCAGCUCUUAUGGACUAUCUCCAUGCAAUUGCCUAUAAUCUAGCUCCAUACUUUUUUAUUUGUUGAAUUUUCUUUUUAGUUUUUUGUUUUUGUUUGUUUUUUAGAUUUUUUCACUAUUAGAAAUUGUCAGCAUUGUGUUUUAUAAUUUGUUAUGCUACCUAUUUCAUCUUUGCAUCAUUUCCAAUACUGUAUGCAUCGUAUAGAGAGUUUUAGAGAGUUCUAAUUUGCUUUGUGCAUUUUUGCAAAUGUAACUCCAUGAAAGUAUAUUAUCAAAAUGUUGAACUUGUGUGUAAGCAGCAUGUGUGUGCAUAAAGACAUUAAAACUUCCUCAUUAAAUGAAAUUGUAUCUUCUUUGUACAUCUGCUUUUAUGAAAAAUAAAAUUUCUCAAUGCCUUGGCUCUUUGGGCAACUGA